UGCUCUGUGGCGCAAUUGGUUAGCGCGUCUGACUGUUACCUUUCUUGGAAUACCGAGGUGUAAUCAGGAGGCUGUGAGUUCGAGUCUCACCGGAGCAG